rnacentral:lncRNA from 1 species
AUUUUCACUCUAUUUAUAGUUGAGAACCUUCCAUUUCCCCCUGGUUGAAAUACAUUAGUUGCCAUGGAAACUGCGAUCCCCCCGGUGUGGAUGGAGCCGAAUGACACCUACAAUUGCAGAGCACGGAUGGCAUCGCCAGGGCUGGGAAAUGGGCAUCGUGGCUGGAGAGGGCACUGAAGGGCACAGAUGAGAAUAAUGACAGCACACAGCACAACCGUCAGGGGCGGAUGCAGCACCCCUGGGUCAGAAGUCGUGGAAGAAGCCAUGGGUGGGUCCCGGGAAUCUUAACACAGCUGGGCAGCAAAACAUGGACAAACCCUAUCCAGCCGACCCUCGCCUGGAAGCUGCAGCUACGCCAAGGGAAGCCUUUCUUUUAUUUUAUUUUAUUUCAUUUUUUAUUUUUUAUAUUUUUUAUUAUUGAGACAGAGUCUGGCUCUAUUGCCCAGGCUGGAGUGCAGUGGCGCCGUCUCGGCUCACUGCAACCUCCGCCUCCCAAAUUCAGUCCAUUCUCCUGCCUCAGCCUCCGGAGUAGCCAGGACUACAAGCACCUGCCACCACGCCCUGCUAAGGGAAGCCCUUCUUAUACGACCUCAAUCCCCAUACAUUCCUUCUCCCUGGAGAUGUCAGUUCCACGUUCCAGCGUAGAUAAUUGCUCAUGCACCAUUUGUUCCUGUAAAUUUAGCACAAUCAACGCUCUCACUCACUGGUUUUCUCUUUUCCUGUGAUGUUGGCUUUAUAGACUAUUUUUAGUCCUAUUUCAUCUACACCUUGUUCCUCAGAAUUCAGCACCUUGUCAUGAAACCCUCCUACCCUUGACUCCUCCCCUGUCCUGUCUCAGAUCUUGAGUCUACAAUCUUCCUACAGAAAGGAAGGCAAAGAUGUGUGUUUUAAAAUUCUUAAUAUGACUCUACGUCCAAAAGAGACAUUCGUUUCUGUUGAUUAAUUGGAGAGAGUUUCUUCUGGAAUAUCGGAAGCGCAGCACCACCAGCUGUGCUGCUUGAGGUGGCAGCAGAGGAGGCUGCGGGGAGACACGAACUUUACUAGCACUGUCUCCGUGCAGAGGAGCAUACAGUAUGCUCUACACACAAUAACCCAUUUAAUGUUUGCAGCCGGGCUCUAAGAGAGGGGGC